GACGAACGCUGGCGGCGUGCUUAACACAUGCAAGUCGAACGGAAAGGCCCUGCUUUUGUGGGGUGCUCGAGUGGCGAACGGGUGAGUAACACGUGAGUAACCUGCCCUUGACUUUGGGAUAACUUCAGGAAACUGGGGCUAAUACCGGAUAGGAGCUCCUGCUGCAUGGUGGGGGUUGGAAAGUUUCGGCGGUUGGGGAUGGACUCGCGGCUUAUCAGCUUGUUGGUGGGGUAGUGGCUUACCAAGGCUUUGGCGGGUAGCCGGCCUGAGAGGGUGACCGGCCACAUUGGGACUGAGAUGCGGCCCAGAGUCCUACGGGAGGCAGCAGUGGGGAAUAUUGCACAAUGGGCGGAAGCCUGAUGCAGCAACGCCGCGUGCGGGAUGACGGCCUUCGGGUUGUAAACCGCUUUCGCCUGUGACGAAGCGUGAGUGACGGUAAUGGGUAAAGAAGCACCGGCUAACUACGUG
rnacentral:rRNA from 1 species